UGUAUCCUACUAAUUUGUUUUACGCCUAUAGGUUGAGGUUGAUCUGAAAGAUAGGACUAUUUGUGAUCCAGAAUCAAAAGAGUCAAGAAAAGUCUGAGAAUUUCAUCCUUGGAGCAGAAAGUGAAAGUGUUCUGGAGCCAAAAGUAGUAACAAAGAUGGAGGGCAAGAGAUCAUUGGAUUAAAUCAUAUUGGCAGACCAAAUUUCAGAAGAAUCAACACACCAGAGACAAGAAGAACUUGAAGUUAAAGCAAAGUUCCCUUAUACUGGAGAAUUCUUCUGCAUUCUCUGCUCAAAUAUGAUGCCCCCCACCAUGAAGAAGAGAUUCACCUUGGAUAUAACCACAAUUUACCCCCCUCAACAGAUCCCAGGAGGCUGCUGCUUACCUACUAGGGAGCCCACCUGCCUCGCUUUCUGCUUCCCCAGUCCUAUCCAUCUUGCUCCAUAUGAACUUUCCCAGGCCCAAGCUGCAGAUAUGAGAAUGAUAGCUACUCAUCAAACCUUUUUCCUUGUCUUGUUGAGCACACAGCUGGACCCCAUUUCAAAGCCUCUGUUGAGGUUAGAUAUGGUCAUGUGCCUGAGUCCUAGCCAAUAGAAUGUAACUGGGAACUGUUGUGUGUCUCUUUGAAAUCUGGCUGAUGAAUACCCACCCCCAUGCUACCCUCCAUGUUGUUUCCCUUUGUACUGACUUGAUGCAAUUGAGCCCAGGAAGCUUCAAAGCUAUAUGCUGAGGAUGGAUUUGAUAUCACAGAGGAAGCCUGGGUCCCUACAUCACUGCUUUGAGAACUGCUGCCCACCUUUUGGACCACCCAUUUUGGACUUAACAUGAGCAAGAAAUAAACUUUUCUGUUUGAACCAUUAUAUAUGUUUGGAUUUGUAUGUUGCAGCAGCUACAAUUACCUUAACCAAUAUGGACCCCCUGAGAAAAGUUGUUGGACCAAUAUGCAUUUAAGCUCAGGUUUCAAUUUUUCACACAUGAAAAAUUAUAAAUACAUAUAACUUUGAGCUUCUUUAGGAAAGAACGAAUACCCUAACUGGCUUGGUAUUCUCCCAGUAAAUAGUUCUUGAAAGGGUAUUUCAUAUAGUAGAAAUUCAAUGACUGCCUGUUCAAAAUGUUUAAAUGUUCAAGUCUUAAGAAAAAAAUGUCAACUACGAGAAGAUUAAGGAUUCAUUUACAUAGUGAGAGCUAAAUGAAGUCUUACUGAAUAAAUAAAUGAAUGAGUGAAUAAAUGGUAUAUUUGAUGAAAAUAAGUCUCACCUUAAGAUUCACAGAGAAAUUUGCUUAUCUGUAAGAUAAGGAUUGUGAUACCUUGCGCUUUCUACCUCACACGAAAUGUGUUAGUAUCAAAUCAGAGAAUUUACUUUCAAGCAUUUACUUUCUAAAUUACCAAGUGCUAGACACAUGUGAGUUCUCCAGUAUAAUUUAGAUAGAUUACUUUAUGUUUUGUCAGUAUGUUGACAGUUUAUUGAUAAUGGAGUUGAAACUCAAGGAAGGAGAAUAAUCUGUGAAGCACUUCUGAACAUCUUGGAGAUUUUUUUAAAAGUUAUAUUGGUGACCUGAAGAUUUUAGACCUCUUAAAAUUCUGAAUUACUAUUAACUUGCAGAUAAAAUAAUGCCAUUAUUUACCACUGGACUCAAGAGAACAUCUUUGUGUAUUAUUGGUACCCUGAAAUUAUAACUAAUCAUAUCCCCUCUGUAUCUCCCUAAGAUGUAUCUGCCACUUCUUAGGUUCCUACUUAGUGAUUAGAGUCAGAAAAGCAUUAAUCAACACUGCUGUGCCAAAUACUAUGGAAAUUCAUUUAACCAUAUUACAUAAUUGAAAUGUCAGAAUGUUUAAACACUUUCUGUCAUAUGAAAAUAUAUUGGAAAUGUCUAGAACCAAGCUGGCAGAGAAAAACACAAGGAAUGUUCUUAUAAAACAAAUGAGAUCUAGCUGGGCAUGGUGGCAUGUGCCUGUAGUUCCAGCUGCUCAGGAGGCUGAGGUGGGAGGACUGCUUGAGCCCAGGAGUUUGAGGCCAGCCUGGACAACAUAAUGAGAUCUCCAUCACUAAAAAUAAAUUUUAAAAUAAUGGAUAAGAAAGAUUUAAUGAUCCAUGGAAUGGUUGUUUGUGGGCUUUUGGUCAGAAGCCUGAGAGUGGGGAUUAGACAAAAGUGGCUGUCCAAUGUGUCAGUGGUGAUGCCAAUCUCUUGCCAGCUGAAAUUGAGAAGUAUAUGCAGCAGGCUUCAAUGACUGCCCUCACUGCUGAAAAGAAUAUAUCUUGUAUUGCCUGGGCAGGUGACCUUCACCAGGGGUUAAGAGAAUUCCUGUGAGUUCAUUGUGAGACUACCUCUCUUUCAUUUCCCAGUCCUUCAUCAGAAAAUUCAAGAGGCUCCUAUCACAUCCUAGAAUAAAGAUUUCCUUUAUGCAGGCUCCAUCCUCCAUCAGUAGGAGUCAAGUGGUAGCCCCAAAUUCUGCAUAUUUCUCUCACUCCUUUCAAACUGUCCAAUACUUACUAGCACUUUCUUCUUUGGAACAUCAUGUCCUAUAUUUCUGUCAUUUCAGUCACAAGAAGUGUAGGGCCCUAGAUCGUCCCCUAUCCCUUGGCCUUUAAUCUCCUUAUGGCUCCAAAAAUUGCCUUUUCUGCCACCAUCUCCCUUCUGCCCCAUCUCCUGAAAGAACUGGAACUUUCUGUCAAGCAUCUAUCAAUUAUCAACCAAAUUCCCUACAUCCCCUCACAUUUCCUUAUUUUAUUUGCUGGAACUAAAACUCACCUCUCCUCAAAGGACCCUGCUUGCCUUGCAGCCUCCUCAAGGGGUGGCUGUUUUCUCUCCCAGACCCCUCAAAGCACUGAGUCUGGAUGUGGGGUAGUGUCCUCCUCCCUCCUCAUUGCUUCUUCCAGAUCAUUAUUCCUCAUUUCUCCCUAAGACUACACAGUUUGAAUGACUUCAAUAUUGCCAAACCUCAAAGUGUAUUUGAGUCUUCAUUUUACUUGAUAGAUCAGCAGCAUUUUACACAGUUGAUCACUCUCUUUCUGCUGAGACAGUUUCUUCACUUGACUUCCAGGACACCACACUCUCCGGCUUGCUUCCUGCUUCACUAGUUGCUCCUUCUCUGUUCCUUUGCUACUUCCUUCUCAUCCCACUUAUCUCUAAGUGAGAGCCCCUGCACUUAAUCUUUGAACCUUGCCUCUUCUCUGGAUACACUUGCUGCCUUAACAAUCUCAUUUAAUCUCAUGAUUUUCUAUGCUUUCUAUAUGUUGAUGACUCUACAAGUUAUAGCUUUAUUCCAGAACUUUCUCCUGAACUUGAGAUGUAUGUAUCCAAGGGCUCACCUGACAUCUUCAUCUGGAUAUUAAUAGGUAUUUCAAAAUUAACACAUGAAAAACUGAGCUCCUGAUUUUUUCUUCAGAUCUUCUUCUCUUGAAGCCCCUCCAACCCACACCAAUCUCAGCAAAUGACAAUCCCAAUCUUUCAGUCAUUCAGGCCAAAAACUUUGAAGGCAUCCUUGACUCCUUUCUUUCUCUCACACUGCACAUCAAAUUUAUCAGAAAACCCUAAUGGAUCCUCUUUCAAAAUAUAUGUAUGGUAUCUGACCAGUUCUUACUGGCUUUACAACUACAACCCUGGCAACUGUUAUCUGUUACUUGGAUUGCUGCAAUAACUUCCUAACUGAUCCUUCUACUUCUGUCCUUGCCUCCUUCAUUUCUAUUCUAAAAAAAAGCAGCCAAAGUAAUUCUGUUAAACAUAAGCAGAAUAUAUCACUCGUUUGAUUAUAACCCUACAAUGGCUUCCUAGCUCACACUGUGUAAAAGUUAAAGUCCUACAAUAACCCUUCAAAGUUUUUGGCUAAGUAUGUAAGAUAUCUAGUGUGAUAGCAUUAAGUGCUGAGGUGGAAAAUUAAAGCAGGGAAUGGAAAUAGAGAGCAUCAAAGAUAGAGUGAUGAUUGCAUUUUAAAUAGACUUGAAGGAGAUAAUAGAGUAUGCCAUACAGAUAUUUAGGGAAAUAAUAUUCUAUGCAGAGAAAAGAGCAGGUGCAAAGGCCCUAAGGCAGAAGCAUGCUGGAAUAUACAAAGAACAGCAAGAAAGCUUUGCGCACUGGAGUGGCAGGAGAUGAGGUGAGACAGGCCUAUUGAUAAUGUCUCUUUCACUAAAAUAUAACAUGCAUGUGGAUAGAAAUGUUUGGCCUAUUUUAUCUACUGUUUUAUAACUAGAACUCAACUCUCAGCUAGCAUUCUACUCACACUGACCAUGUGUUCUGAGUUACAGUGGCAUUUUAUGUUACAGAAUCUUUUUUUGAGACCGGGUCUGGCCCUGUUGCCCAGGCUGAAGUGCAGUGGCGUGAUCUUGGCUCACUGCAACCUCUGCCUCCCAGGCUCAAGCCAUCCUCCCACCUCAGCCUCCCGAGUAGCUGGGACUACGCGCACACCACCAUGCCUGGCUAGUUUUUAUAUUAUUUGUAGAGACAGGGUUUCGCCAUGUUGGCUAGGCUGGUCUUAAACUUCUGAGCUCAAGUGAUCCACCUGCCUUGGCCUCUCAGAGUGCUGGGAUUAUGGGGUGUGAACCACCACACCCAGCCUAUGUUACAUAAUUUCGGUUUUUAGUGUCCAUAAUUACGGUCUGAAAUAGGUCAAGGGGACCCCAUGAUGGUCCUGGGAGAUGAGCAUUGAGACUACAAUGAUAGAAUGGAUCAGACCAUGCUUGAAGGACCUCAGAAGGUCUAGUCAAACUGUCAACUAACCCUCAUAGUUUGCAGAGCUGCUGGGAGACAAAAUCAUGUCCAGAACUCUGGAGCCACAGGAUUCCUUUGGGUCCCCAGAACUUCUUUGGAAAAGAUUAUAAUGGCUUUAACAUCAUUAACGUUUAUUGGGUUUUUACAAUGUAACAGGCAUGGUUCUAUGCACUUUACACAACUAAUUCAUUGAAUUCUCUCAACAACCUAAUGAGGUCAGAACUAUUAUCCUCAUUUUUGAUGUGAGAAAACUGAAGUACAGAGAGGUUAUGUGGCUUCCAAAGUCACAUAGUUUAAAAGUGGCAGAGACUGGAUUCAAAUGUAAACAAUAACCACUGCCGGGGUACCAUGGGAAGUUGUGGUCCAGACACUAAAUCAAGCUGCACCCAAGGUGUCCUAAUCCUACUCCUUCUUUCUCCACUGGAUGAGAGAAAAGGAGCAGGACCUAAGCCUCCUGAUUUUGUGGGAAUUUGCUUUUCUGUUCCAUGUUUCUCCCUCCGCUGCCCUUCUAUGCAUUGAAAUGAUGGGCAGGGGAACAUUUUCCGCCUCUGGAGGCAGGCGAGCAAAGACUCGAUGCACUUCCCCACCUCUUGCACUGGCUCAUACUUUAAUGGCUGGAAGUUUAAAAUCACAUCCCAAGCUUCUUGGAACUCAAAAUUCAGUUAUCUGACUCAGUAAAAUGUAGCUUUCUCACUUAAAAGGAUUUGCCCAAGGGGCCUCUGGGAUUUCAAAUAUACUUAAAAGCAACAACUGUGUUGAAUCAUAGAAUCAUAAGGGAUUGCAUUUCCGCUGGAGAACAGACAGGAUGUUUUAAACAGAGGGGGAAAUGUUUGAAGUUCGCCAAGCUUUGAGUUUCAUCCCACCCACCACAUCUGAAAACUAUCUGAGUCAUUUGAUGAAGGCAAAAUACAGCUGGGCUCCCUUAUUCUUAGUGUUAUUGUGGCCUACCAUCUUGACAUUGUGAUGCUAUCUGUGCAAGAACAUUUCACCUACAUCUACCAACCCUUUUCUAAACUGGAAUCAGGAAGAGUCUGUUCUCCAAAGUCUAUCUGGAGUGGAGUGGGCUGAGGGUGGUGUGGAGUAAAUAUUCUUAUAGACAGAAGGCAAAUACAGCUCUAGACAAAACAGUGAAGAGAAACAGGUUUGUCCAUGGCCCUGAGCUGCUGUCAAGGAGGUUACAGGGCCUUUAUCUCUUUCAUGGUGCUGCAGUAUUGUGUAGUGUGUUUAUGAACGUAGAUUUGGGAGUCAAAAAGAUACACGUUUAAUCUUGACCCUACCCACUUAUUUACUCACUGUGAAUCCUUGGGCAGAUUACUUAACCUUUCUAAUU
rnacentral:lncRNA from 10 species